AUUGAACGCUGGCGGCAGGCCUAACACAUGCAAGUCGAGCGGAUGAAGGGAGCUUGCUCCUGGAUUCAGCGGCGGACGGGUGAGUAAUGCCUAGGAAUCUGCCUGGUAGUGGGGGAUAACGUCCGGAAACGGGCGCUAAUACCGCAUACGUCCUGAGGGAGAAAGUGGGGGAUCUUCGGACCUCACGCUAUCAGAUGAGCCUAGGUCGGAUUAGCUAGUUGGUGGGGUAAAGGCCUACCAAGGCGACGAUCCGUAACUGGUCUGAGAGGAUGAUCAGUCACACGGGAACUGAGACACGGUCCAGACGCCUACGGGAGGCAGCAGUGGGGAAUAUUGGACAAUGGGCGAAAGCCUGAUCCAGCCAUGCCGCGUGUGUGAAGAAGGUCUUCGGAUUGUAAAGCACUUUAAGUUGGGAGGAAGGGCAGUAAGUUAAUACCUUGCUGUUUUGACGUUACCAACAGAAUAAGCACCGGCUAACUUCGUG
rnacentral:rRNA from 1 species